UUAACCAUCCUAAAUAUUUUGAGAUGUUAAGCGUUUACGUUUGGUUUUAAAAUGCAUACAUGAAUCGCAACCAGAAUUCAUUUUCCUUCAAUGGCACGACGAGGGAAGUUAGUACCGUUGUUGUCUCCUAUUUAGUCAUCCCUAGUGGCUCGUAUGAAGGUGAAUGUCUUGGCAGUGAUUACUGGUUUGAAUCCGACCUUCUCUUCCCUGAAUUUCUUGCCAGUAAUAACUGCUUUCUUCCACCCCCAACCUCUCAAACAGUCUAUUUUUUUCAAAAUUUCGCCUUUCGCCGUUUAAGCAAUCUGGCCCGUCUCCACCACCCGCACCCGCGGUUAGUACCUCUAUCAAAAUUUACGUCAUUAUUAGGUUUAGGUUUUCGGUUCAUAAUUUCUCUCUACAUUACAAUUUUAAUUGGAAUUGUGUUCUGCAUUUUUUUUUAUGGGUUUAUGAUUUGCCUCAUGUAUGUAGACUAUGACUCUGGGAUUACAUUCAAUGAACGACGAAAAAAAGAAAGCUAGGGAUGCUAUUCUUGGCAGAAAAUUUGAUCAGGUAAUUAAAUGUUGGAAAAUAAUGUUUUAACAAUUUUCUUUUUAAAUUUUUUAAAAAUGCAUAAGUAAUAUUUGUUCGUUUCAAAUAUUUUUAUAAAAAUAAAUUUAAACAUAUCAAUAAAAUAAUAACAAAUGAGCUAUUAAAUAUAAAAAAAUUGUUAAAAAAAUUGUAAAGAUUUCAUAAUCCUUAAAUGUUAUCAGGUAAUUUUCGAAAUCAUCGUCUGUCAUUUACUUUUUUUAUUUUAUUUCUUGUGUAGGUACGUGUCAACCUUUCUGGAAACACUCAGGUCUCAUCGAAGCUAUGAUGCACUCAAAUUAUACGAAUAUUGGAUAUGAUAUUAAAAUAUGUCCGAUUCUUUUAAGUCUAAAUAGAAGUUUGAUUUUAAGAUAAUGAAUACUUUUUUCCAUCAUUGCAUUAUUUUAGACCUUUACAGAUAAAUUCUGACUUGAACUAAGUAUUUUCUACAAAUCACUCAUAACAAAUUGAUCGGUCACCCAUAACAGUGAGAAAAAGGAGUAAACGUUGGUCCAGACAAAAGAGUUAAAACAAGAGUUAUCUUUGUCUUAAUAAAAAACAAGUAUAAUAUUUUGCACUGGUUAAAAGUUACGUUAAUUGUUAUGUAUUUAGUUAAGCAGAAUUUUUUUCUUGGGAUAAUGAUAUUUAGACAACAUUUUU
rnacentral:lncRNA from 1 species